GUGCAAAGUCAAAAAGUUGUUAUCGUUGUGUUAGCGUCCCUCGUCUUCGUAGAUCAGCACGUUGUUUCAGAAUAAUUGUAUUUCAAGUCGGUGUGGUUCAUUGCAAUGUAAUUUAAUUUAAGUGUCUGUUCACCUGAGCACGAGUGAGAUUCUCUAGCAAUCUGAAGGUGGCUGAAGAAGAGGUUUGUCACAAUGUAUGGCGCUACAUGGCACUUCGACAAAAGCCAAUUCUUCAGGUUUUACCUUGCAAGGUUUCCAUUGAAAGUUGGAAAGUUGAUCAAUAGCAAUGCAGAACUAGAAGCAUCUUCAGGUUGCUACACAAUUGUUGACAACAUCUAUUGGAGGAUUGUCGAAUUUGUUUCAAUAUAUUUAUAUAGUGACGUGAAAUUGCUGGAUCUGGGACCGACUGCAAAAUAUAUUGUAUAAUCAUAAACCGAGUGAGGAAGGCUGAACAAAGAAGGGGUUUAGCGGGCGAACGAAAUGUCCUAGGACAACGAUUCUUUUAUCAGAUUGUAAGUAUUGAAUUUGUAUAUCAUUUACAUUUAUUUUUAGGUGAUUUGCGCACGGGAAACCGGCAAAAAGAUCAUUUUUGUGCUUUGAUGUACUGAUUUUUUGCCGUUUUGGGUAUUUUGCGGGCGAACGAAAUGUCCUAGGACAACGAUUCUUUUAUCAGAUUAUAAGUAUUGAAUAUGUAUAUCAUUUACAUUUAUAAUUUGUGUGAUAUGCACACAGGGGAACCUGCAAAAAGAUAAUUUUUGUUCUUCGAUGUACUGAUUUUUGGCAGUUUUGGGUAUUUAGCGGGCGAACGAAAUGUCCUAGGACAACGAUUCUUUUAUCAAAUUGUGGCCAGCGGGCGAACGAAAUGUCCUAGGACAACGAUUCUUUUAUCAGAUUGUAAGUAUUGAAUUUGAAUAUCAGCUACAUUUAUAAUUCGUGUGAUUUGCACACGGGAAAUCGGCAAAAAGGUAAUUUUUGUGCUUCGAUGUUCCGAUUUUUGGCAGUUUUAGGUGUUUAGCGGGCGAACGAAAUGUCAUAGGACAACGAUGUUUUUAUCAGAUUGUGUCUAGCGGGCAAACCCGAUGUCGUAGGACAACCAUUAUUCCAUGUGAUUCCAAAUAUUCUAGUUGUUUAGCAUUGUCAUAUACAACAUCUUUGUUUAAUACAAGGAAAAGCCACAAAGGUGGUAUUUUACCGCAGUACGUUAAUUAAAAACCUUUGUUUUAAAUAUUUUUUUGUAAACUUCACCGGAUAGCUUGAUAACUUGCAAUAUAUUUGUAAUCGCAUUUCUGUCGUAUGCAUAUAGAAAAAUGCCUUUCCAUCUGCGGGUCGAUUAAUUAUCAAUCUGUAUUGCUUAGUUCGGCUUAGUCGGUUGAGUGCUGUUGCCAGUGUGCACGUGUUUUGUUCAUUAAUCAAACGUGGUGACACUUUCUCGCGGUUCUUGAUAUUUUGUAGCAUUACUAGAUUCGAUUGACAAUGAGAAGCAUUGAAUAGUAACCGCACAGUAUAGCGCACAACGAAUGAUUUGAGUGAUUCAUUGCGGUGCGUGCGUGGCGUUCGUCGGAUAUGUUUCGAUGACUAUGGAUACUUAUUGGAGCUCAAGUUAAAUUUAAUUGUUAAACGUGAAUACAAGUUACUACAUUUGGAAUCUCCGCGUAGAAUAGUAAAGAACUGCGUAUCAUCAAUUCUACAUACAAUUUGCAGAAACGUGUUUGUGCUCUUCUGUCAUUUAUUGAUUCAAAAACAAAGGAGUAAGUAGCAUCAAAUAAAAGUUUACUUUUAUUUAACUUUUUAAAUCUACCAGUUACCAUGUUAUUGCUUCAUAAUAAUUAUAAUUGAUUUGGUCAAUAAAGGAUAAUUUAAUUUUA